CAAGUACUCCCUCCGUUCGGAAUUAGUUGUCAUCAAAAUGGAUGUGUCUAGAACUAAAAUACAUCUAGAUACAUCCAUUUCAAUGACAAGUAUUUUCGGACGGAAGGAGUACAAG
rnacentral:pre_miRNA from 1 species